rnacentral:siRNA from 1 species
AGCAGGGCCGCUCUCUUCCACGAC